rnacentral:rRNA from 1 species
UUGCUUUCUAGAGACCGGCGGAUGGGUGAGUAACGCGUAUGCAACCUACCUUUUACAGGGGAAUAGCCCGGAGAAAUUCGGAUUAAUGCUCCAUGGUUUAUAUGAAUGGCAUCGUUUAUAUAAUAAAGAUUUAUCGGUAAAAGAUGGGCAUGCGUAUCAUUAGCUAGUUGGUGUGGUAACGGCAUACCAAGGCUACGAUGAUUAGGGGUCCUGAGAGGGAGAUCCCCCACACUGGUACUGAGACACGGACCAGACUCCUACGGGAGGCAGCAGUGAGGAAUAUUGGUCAAUGGAGGCAACUCUGAACCAGCCAUGCCGCGUGCAGGAUGACGGUCCUAUGGAUUGUAAACUGCUUUUGUACGGGAAGAAAUGUAAUUACGUGUAAUUAUUUGACGGUACCGUAAGAAUAAGGAUCGGCUAACUCCGUGCCAGCAGCCGCGGUAAUACGGAGGAUCCGAGCGUUAUCCGGAAUUAUUGGGUUUAAAGGGUUCGUAGGCGGUUGAGUAAGUCAGUGGUGAAAUCUUAUAGCUUAACUAUAAAAUUGCCGUUGAUACUGCUUGACUUGAAUAGUAUGGAAGUAAUUAGAAUAUGUAGUGUAGCGGUGAAAUGCUUAGAUAUUACAUGGAAUACCAAUUGCGAAGGCAGAUUACUACGUACUUAUUGACGCUGAUGAACGAAAGCGUGGGUAGCGAACAGGAUUAGAUACCCUGGUAGUCCACGCCGUAAACGAUGGAUACUAGCUGUUCGGUUUUCGGACUGA